rnacentral:rRNA from 1 species
UGGGGAUGACGUCAAAUCAUCAUGCCCCUUAUGACCUGGGCUACACACGUGCUACAAUGGGCGGUACAAAGGGCUGCGAACCCGCGAGGGGGAGCGAAUCCCAAAAAGCCGCUCUCAGUUCGGAUUGCAGGCUGCAACUCGCCUGCAUGAAGCCGGAAUCGCUAGUAAUCGCGGAUCAGCAUGCCCGCGGUCCGAAUACGUUCCGGCCUU